GACGAACGCUGGCGGCGUGCUUAACACAUGCAAGUCGAGCGAGGCCCACCUUUCGGGGUGGUGUCCUAGCGGCGAACGGGUGAGUAACACGUGGGCAACCUGCCCCCGGCUCGGGGAUAACCCCAAGAAAUUGGGGCUAAUACCGGAUACGACCGCUGGCCGCAUGGCCUGGUGGUGGAAAGAUUUAUCGGCUGGGGAUGGGCCCGCGGCCUAUCAGCUUGUUGGUGGGGUAGUGGCCUACCAAGGCGACGACGGGUAGCCGGCCUGAGAGGGUGACCGGCCACACUGGGACUGAGACACGGCCCAGACUCCUACGGGAGGCAGCAGUGGGGAAUAGUGCGCAAUGGGCGGAAGCCUGACGCAGCGACGCCGCGUGGGGGAUGACGGCCUUCGGGUUGUAAACCUCUUUCAGCAGGGACGAAGCCCGCGAGGGUGACGGUACCUGCAGAAGAAGCACCGGCCAACUACGUGCCAGCCGCCGCCGUAAAAC
rnacentral:rRNA from 1 species